UACAGAGACUGCAAGCGUUAUUCGGAUUCACUGGGCGUAAAGGGUGCGCAGGCGGCCAGGUGUGUUAGGCGUGAAAGCCCGGGGCUUAACCCCGGAAUUGCACCUAAAACUACUUGGCUAGAGCAUUGGAGAGGGUAGCGGAAUUCACGGUGUAGCAGUGAAAUGCGUAGAUAUCGUGAGGAACACCAGAGGCGAAGGCGGCUACCUGGACAAUUGCUGACGCUCAGGCACGGAAGCGUGGGGAGCAAAAGGG
rnacentral:rRNA from 1 species